GAUGAACGCUGGCGGCGUGCCUAAUACAUGCAAGUAGAACGCUGAGGUAGGAGCUUGCUCUUCUGGAUGAUUUCCGCACGCGUGUGUAACGCGUAGGUAACCUGCCUGUUAGCGGGUGAUAACUAUUGGAAACGAUAGCUCAUACCGCAUGUCACCAGUUAUUCCAUGUUAACUUUUUAAAAGGGGCAACUUCUCCACUACCAGUUGGACCUGCGUUGCAUUAGCUAGUUGGUGAGGUAACGGCUCACCAAGGCGACGAUACAUAGGCGACCUGAUAGGGGGAUCGGCCAACAUGGGAAUGAGACACGGCCCAGACUCCUACGGGGAGGAGCAGUAGGGAAUCUUCGGCAAUGGACGGAAGUCUGAACGAGCAAAGGCGCGUGAGUGAAGAAGGUUUUCGGAUCGGAAAGCUCUGUUGUAAGAGAAAAAAGAGAGUGAGAGGGGAAAGUGCACACUGUGACGGUAUCUUACCAGAAAGGGACGGCUAACUACGUG
rnacentral:rRNA from 1 species